ensembl:lncRNA
AUGAGCUUCAUCUGGCUGCAGUGCUGUAUGGGACUUGCUCGGGAAGAAGGUCUCCAAAGAAGUGUGUUUUUGGUUGUAAGGGAAAGAUAACUUGUUCAGCUUCCUAAGGAACCCAGCGUUAUGUAAACGGCAGAUACAGUUGUUUUCCGGGGCAGCAAAGGAGUUUCACAAGUUUUGUUGUUGACGAAUGUUUUAUAAACAAGGCCCAGUUCGAUGCUGGAUUUGCACAUCGUUUGAUUCUGAAGAUGGAGCGGUCCCAGCUAUAAAAGAUCCUGGUCGUGAUUCAGAACUGCAGACGAGAAAUUGGACUGCACCUCCCUUUCCUGCCAGUUUGGUUGCCGUAUUGAAAGAGAUGGUGAAAUGGGCUUUUUGUGUCCUCCAGGGCUCCACUUGGCUUCAGAUAACAGAACCUGCAAAGAAUGUACAGGGGUGAAGAAUGAGGUCAGGAGAAGAGUUAAAAACCUUCAUGAAACCAUUUUUAUCUGGAAUUCCCAAAGACUCUUCAAAAACCGUGCCAGAAAACUGCAUAAAAGCUGCAUCUACAGGAGUAUUUACACCUAGUCACUUCAUGUGUUUUUACUAAAUAGAUUGCUAUUUGAUCAUGAAAACACAAGUGUAAAUGCCCUCUAAGACACAUUUUAGAUGGAGGUCCUGAGGAGGUUGUUUGAUGUGCAUACAAGAGGCAACUGAGCCACUUACGGAUCUGGUUGUUCAAGCUACAUGUAUAAACCUCUGAAAUGGAACUAGGCCAACUCCAAAAUCCACAUGUGAGGGUCUCUUUUCAUCAAGGGAAUGUGCAAACUGACACAAAUAAAAUAAAAUUAACAGCAUUGCA